UUGAACAUGUACCUUACCGUAAAUUAUACCUGCAGCAAAUCCCCAUCAUUAGGUGACUUAAGUGACUUUGAAGCAUAUGGUCGCCAGCUGAGAUUUCACCUUUUUACCAGUUGGAAAACAGUGGAAACAGGAGGCGGUGUAUUGAUCAUAAAGGGGACAGCGCAGGAACAUUCUGCUGCAGCUGUGUAUAUAGACACUACAAUGCUGUGGAAGUAAUAAAAAGCGCUCAAAAUAACUUAACCCAAAGUUUUGAGAAUAAGGAAAUGAG